CGAAACUGCGAAUGGCUCAUUAUAUAAGUUAUCGUUUAUUUGAUAGUACCUUACUACUUGGAUAACCGUGGUAAUUCUAGAGCUAAUACAUGCUAAAAAUCCCGACUUCGGAAGGGAUGUAUUUAUUAGAUUAAAAACCAAUGCCCUCCGGGGCUCACUGGUGAUUCAUGAUAACUUCUCGAAUCGCAUGGCCUUGCGCCGGCGAUGGUUCAUUCAAAUUUCUUCCCUAUCAACUUUCGAUGUUUGGGUAUUGGCCAAACAUGGUUGCAACGGGUAACGGAGGGUUAGGGCUCGACCCCGGAGAAGGAGCCUGAGAAACGGCUACUACAUCCAAGGAAGGCAGCAGGCGCGCAAAUUACCCAAUCCCGACUCGGGGAGGUAGUGACAAUAAAUACUGAUACAGGGCUCUUUUGGGUCUUGUAAUUGGAAUGAGUACAAUUUAAAUCCCUUAACGAGGAACAAUUGGAGGGCAAGUCUGGUGCCAGCAGCCGCGGUAAUUCCAGCUCCAAUAGCGUAUAUUAAAGUUGUUGUGGUUAAAAAGCUCGUAGUUGAACCUUGGGCCUGGCUGGCCGGUCCGCCUCACCGCGUGUACUGGUCCGGC
rnacentral:rRNA from 1 species